rnacentral:snoRNA from 1 species
AUCGAGUCACAGUUUGGUAUUGGCUACUGCCUUUGUGUGCUGAGUCCUCCAAGAAUAACUGCUGACCUUAUUCACUGGCUGUGGGCCUCGUGGCACAGUCGGUCACCAGGUUAGUGACGUGU